GACGGAGGGUGCAAACGUUGUUCGGAAUCACUGGGCCUAAAGAGCACGUAGGCUGCGCGCUAAGUCAGGUGUGAAAUCCCCCGGCUCAACCGGGGAACUGCACCUGAUACUGGCGUGCUCGAGGACGGUAGGGGUGAGUGGAACUCCAGGUGGAGCGGUGAAAUGCGUAGAUAUCUGGAGGAACACCGGUGGCGAAAGCGGCUCACUGGACCGUCUCUGACGCUAAGGUGCGAAAGCUAGGGUAGCAAACGGG
rnacentral:rRNA from 1 species